AUUGAACGCUGGCGGCAGGCCUAACACAUGCAAGUCGAGCGGUAGCACAGAGAGCUUGCUCUCGGGUGACGAGCGGCGGACGGGUGGGUAAUGUCUGGGAAACUGCCUGAUGGAGGGGGAUAACUACUGGAAACGGUAGCUAAUACCGCAUAACGUCGCAAGACCAAAGUGGGGGACCUUCGGGCCUCAUGCCAUCAGAUGUGCCCAGAUGGGAUUAGCUAGUAGGUGGGGUAAUGGCUCACCUAGGCGACGAUCCCUAGCUGGUCUGAGAGGAUGACCAGCCACACUGGAACUGAGACACGGUCCAGACUCCUACGGGAGGCAGCAGUGGGGAAUAUUGCACAAUGGGCGCAAGCCUGAUGCAGCCAUGCCGCGUGUGUGAAGAAGGCCUUAGGGUUGUAAAGCACUUUCAGCGAGGAGGAAGGGUUCAGUGUUAAUAGCACUGAACAUUGACGUUACUCGCAGAAGAAGCACCGGCUAACUCCGUGCCAGCAGCCGCGGUAAUACGGAGGGUGCAAGCGUUAAUCGGAAUUACUGGGCGUAAAGCGCACGCAGGCGGUUUGUUAAGUCAGAUGUGAAAUCCCCGAGCUUAACUUGGGAACUGCAUUUGAAACUGGCAAGCUAGAGUCUUGUAGAGGGGGGUAGAAUUCC
rnacentral:rRNA from 1 species